ACUGAUAGAUGAUUCAGCAAGU
rnacentral:snRNA from 1 species